rnacentral:rRNA from 1 species
GACGAACGCUGGCGGCGUGCCUAAUACAUGCAAGUAGGACGCAGUUGCGAACGGGUGAGUAACGCGUAGGUAACUACCUAUUAGAGGGGGAUAACUAUUGGAAACGAUAGCUAAUACCGCAUACUAGUCGAUUGACCUGCUUUGUAUUGGCUAGUAGGUAGGGUAAUGGCCUACCUAGGCAACGAUACAUAGCCGAACUGAGGGGGUGGACGGGCAAACUGGGACUGGGACACGGCCCAGACUCCUACGGGAGGCAGCAGUAGGGAAUCUUCGGCAAUGGGGGGAACACUGACCGAGCAACGCCGCGGGAGUGAAGAAGGUUUUCGGAUCGUAAAGCUCUGUUGUGAAGGAAGCGGUACUUAACCAGAAAGGGACGGCUAACUACGUGCCAGCAGCCGCGGUAAUAC